rnacentral:lncRNA from 1 species
AUGAAGCCUACAUGCUUGCUGGAGUUUGAAAUGAGUCAUCAUUAUCUAUCAACAUUGAACAUCAAGGUUGUUGAUAGAGGUGAUCAGAAGGUGCCUUUCGGCUCUCAGGAGUCUACCUGUCCCAAGUCACCAUCGAGCGGGCUGCUCAUCAGGUGCAGGGCAGAAGGCUGUCUGCAUACAGAGUAAUUCAAAGGUAAAGAUCUGAUAGGAAGGCACGUUUGGUUGAGGACCAAUCCAAGAAUUUGGGGGAACUUCAGCUUGCACACUGGAGAGGCUGCUAGAAAGAGGGAGAAAGUUUCUGCGAUGAGGAGCAGGGGCCUUAGGUGUUCAGGUACAGAGGGCAGAAGAUCUUGGUAGAGGCCUUGGGAAUUAAUAAGGAAGCCAGAGGAGGUACUUGGUGGAAUUUUGGGGUGACAGGCACAUCCUGUAGGAGCAUCAUAGCUUGUCCCCAGUAGAGUCGUUCCCAAGUGGGACCCAGGGUCCUGCCUGCCAACUCACCUAGAUAUUUAGGUGCACGCUUGAUUGUGUCCAUGAGCACACACCCACUUACAUUUCCCAUUAGAAGACUAUUGCUAAUUAACAUUCAAUUAAGAAAAUUUGGAAAAUAUAGAAAAAUAUGUCAAAAAAAGUAAAUGACCCACAAUCCCAUUAUUCAGAGGUAUAACUUAUUAACAUGUUGCCUAAUUCCUUUCCUGUCUUUUCUUGCACUUAAUAUACUUUUUACCAAAUUGCAAUAUACAGUGCUGCAUUCUACAUUUUCUUCCCUUAAUAUUAUAUGACAGGAAAUAUAAUAUGGCCACUUAGCAUUUUUUCACAUAUAUUCAGCAUCAUUAACUUGACCAUUCUUCCUCUGCUGUACAUUUUUUAUUACUAGUGUUUUUUUCUAUUACAAAUAAUUUUUAAACAAACUAUAUUUGUGCAGAAAUCAGAAACCAUAUUUGGGAUUUUCAGGAUAGGUUCUCAGAAGGAUUUGCACAUUUCAGAAGUUGGUAACAUAUUCCUUUUAUUCUUUCAGUGAAUACUGGUGGAUGGCAGUGCCCGGCUCUGUCCCAGCCUCUGGGACUAUCAGCGGAGGAGGAAGGACUGACCAGAAUGCUCAGAGAGCUCAUAUGCUCACAGCAGACAGGGAGGGUAGGAAGUGCUUAUAAUAUGGUGCCCGUGUGUCAAGAUGUGGAGAGUCUCUGUGCUGCUGGACAAUGCAGCCAGAGCUCUAACCGUGCCCUCGGGGGCCAGGAGGCAUGCUGAAGGAGUGGCGUCUUAAGCUGAGGUCUGGGAGCAGCAAGGAUUAAGCCUAUUUUGGCAGCAGAAAUAGUACAAACAAAUAUUUUUUUGGAGACAGUAUAGGCUCCUGCAAGUUACUGAAAGUUACUGAAAGAAGCACAAUGAUGCUGAAUUAUAAGGUGUCAGAGACAGAAGUCUAUAGAGACCAACAACAAUUUUAAGAAUCUUCUGAGGCAUUUGAGGGGUUUGGUCAUUAUCUUGGGGAUAAUAAAGAGCCAUUGAAAUGUCUUCA